GUUGAAGCAAGUCUGAGAGCAAUGAAGAUUACCCUGUGCCAGCCUGGGGGCUGGGCUAUAUAAACAGGAAGAGGAAGCUGAAUAGCUGUGCUGGAGCAAUGGGGCUGUGGUUUUACUCUCAGGCUCCAGGAGACUAGACUCACUGGGCUCAGAGACUUUGCUCACUGUAAGUUUAGGUGUCCUGAACGAAGGCCCUGAGAUUACUGAUGAAAAUGUAGAAUGGAGUCCAGCCUAGUGCCGAUCCCUGCAGAAUCCUAUGAGAAACAACCCUAUUCGAUGUUAAAUAUGAUAUGCAUUUGAUGAUGCACCCCAAUAACGUCAUUGAUUAUUACAGCUGAUAUCUACUGCAAUGGAAGCUGUGUUUCUGGGCUAAUAUUUCAAAACUCAUAAAUCACGAUUUCAGGGCAUGUCUUCACUGCAGACUUAACUUGAGAAAACCUAUGAUUAAGCCUAUUAACACGCACUGUUUUCAAACAUCCAUAUGCCUCUACCGGUGCUAUACAAUGAAGUAACCACCACCCUUUGAGCUAUAGGGCUAGCCCUGAGGUGUAGUACUCAAGAUGGACAUUGUGCAUAUGGCUGCUUCCUCAGUCAUAGCCAGAUCUCAUUUAUUAUCCAGGGAAAAUUUAGAGACCAAGGUUUUACUGAGUGUUGGACAGUCCCAUAAUUAGUACAACCGGGUUUCCUUGAAGAAAAGAUUGGAUGCUAGAAUCAGACCUGAAAACUGAUUUGAAUGCAUUAGAAGGACGUCUGGCAUGAAAAGAAAACGCUGACUCCAUUAAAAGCAGCAGCUGUUAGUCCCAGUUAUUAAGGAGCGCAGGAUCCAUAUUUCUGGCACACACCUACACACCACCACUGCACCAGCAUGGAUCCUGCCAGAAGAUGAAUUUUGCAGGCCUAGACCUGUUCUCACAAUCUCCAGGGUGGGCAGACAAAUUGUCUCAUAACACCCUGCAAAUCCAAGCAGAGUGGCACAGUUAGUUAUGAAUUUUGGAAUAUAUGCCCAGCUAGCUGUAUUGGUUGUCACAGCCAGGUUAAGCACCAAUGUGGACAUGGAGUAUGACAGCACAGUAAUGUGAUCACACUAUAGGCUAGGCUAGGUUAGGUUAGACCUAAUUAUAGGUUAGGCUACCACAGGUUCAUUUACUGAUUUGCAUACAGUGAAGACAUAGCUUAGAUCUAGUGUCUACUUGUCUUAAAAGAAAUCCACCUUUAGAGGCACAGAAACCAAACUGUCUAAUGAUGUAUAUAGAUAAAACUGGAUUAUUGUCACUUCAGUGUCCACCAUCAGGAGUGUCCACCAUCCUCUCUGGUUGUCCUUUUGAUGAUAUAUUAUCUGUCAUACUCUUUGGCAAAGCAGUCUUUGGGUGGUAUUUCAUUGGGGCUUUUUCUUAAGACAUAAACUUAUAAUCUGUAUUUUAAAGUACCUCUAGGGUGAAAUCCUGACCCCAUAGAAGCUGAUGGCAAAACUUCCAUUGACUUCAAUGGGCCCAGGAUUUCAUUCCUAGUCUUUAGUCCUUAAAAUAUCCAUUGGAACAAAAAAUAUAGCUAGAAAAAAUAAACAAAUUAUUUCCCUUUAUUUAAUAUACAUGUUUCCAAUUUGGCUUUGAAACAAAUAUUUUAAUCAGCUUCUUUUUAUUAUUAUUAUUAUCAACUGUGGGUCAAACCUGGUGGCUUGGGAAUAGAUCUUAGCCUCUUCACUCUCAGCCCUGAACUUUUUUUUUUUUUUUUUUGUCAAAUCCUCCUUUUUCUGUCUGUAGGCAAAAAGAUUUAGAUGGAAAAUUCCUGAACAGCUCUAUUUACCCCACGGAGUUUGUUGAUUUCAUUGGGUCCAUCCAUGAGUCAAGAUAUUAGUCACAGGGAGUACUUGGGAGCACAAUCUUAGAGAGCUGAAUGAAUGAGACAAACUGAAGAAGUCUUAUUCAGUAUAUAACACCGUGAUCGCAAAUGGGAACAAAAUGUGUCAUAAUUUUGUUUCUCCUCCUUUCCCAAAUUAUAUUUAUAUAAAUAUAUGUAAUUAGAGACAUCCCAGGUGAGUAAGAGAGGCUGUGGCUGGGUCAUUGCUAGCUUGUCAUUAUCCCUCAACUAUGCAAUACUCAGAAGGGCCACUGAAACCAGGAGCUAAGUUAGGGAUACUAAUUGUUGUUAUUAAUAUAUAGGUUGCCAAAAUCUCAUGACAAUUCUGCAGGGCUGUUUCUAUACUUCCCCUCCCCCCCCCCAUAAUCCUUUUCUGGGGUGUAUUUUAAAUAUUUUAAGAGACUUUCUCCUUGCUCUGAUGUUUCAUCUUUUAGCUUCAGAAAGGAUGUUUUUCAAGGCUUAAUCUGGCAUGGGUUAAUGUAUUUCAUGGUGCAGUAUAUGACAGCAAACCCUUCCAAGUUUUUUUAAUCUGCUUCUAAUUUUACAAUUUACAGUACUAGAUAUAUUAGAACAUUCAGUUUUUCUUCAAACUGAUGCUUCAUGUUCUGUUCUUCAACAUUAAGUUUUAAAUGUAAUGCUGUUUUAUGUUUUAUGUGUUCCCCUGAACUUUACAUAUCAUUACUUUUUCUUUGGACUAGUUAUAUUUGAAAAUAGCUUGAAAUUGAAAAAAGUACCAUUUGAGCAAUGAAGUAAAUGAUAUGACUGAACUAUUAAAAAUAUACUCUCCUUUCUAAUAUAUAAAGUGCUGGUGUUUCAGUUAAUUAA